rnacentral:rRNA from 1 species
CAAUAGCGUAUAUUUAAGUUGUUGCAGUUAAAAAGCUCGUAGUUGGAUUUCGGUUAAGAGCGACCGGUCCGCCGUUUGGUGUGCACUGGUUGGUUUUAACUUCCUGUAGAGGACGUGCUCUGGGUUUAACGACCUGGACUCGGAGUCUACGUGGUUACUUUGAAAAAAUUAGAGUGUUCAAAGCGGGCUUACGCUUGAAUAUUUCAGCAUGGAAUAACACUAUAGGACUCCUGUCCUAUUUCGUUGGUCUCGGGACGGGAGUAAUGAUUAAGAGGAACAGUUGGGGGCAUUCGUAUUUCAUUGUCAGAGGUGAAAUUCUUGGAUUUAUGAAAGACGAACUUCUGCGAAAACAUUUGCCAAGGAUGUUUNCAUUAA